rnacentral:tRNA from 1 species
GGAGGUAUAACUCAGAGGUAAGAGUGCUUGCCUGGCAUGUAUAAAGCCCAGGGUUUGAUCCCCAGUACCACAA